AGUGAACGCUGGCGGCGUGCCUAAUACAUGCAAGUCGAACGGAGUGGCGCACGGGUGAGUCAUAUAUAGCUAAUCUGCCCCUUGCUGGAGGACAACAGUUAGAAAUGCCUGCUAAUACUCCAUAGAAAGGGAUGAGACUAUAUCUUAUCAGCUAGUCGGUGGGGUAACGGCCUACCGAGGCUAUGACGCGUAACUGGUCUGAGAGGAUGAGCAGUCGCAGUGGAACUGAGACACGGGACAGAAACCUACGAGAGGCACCAGUAGAGAAUAUAGCGCAAUGGGGGAAACCCUGAAGCAGCAACGCCGCGUGGAAGAUGACACUAUUCGAAGCGUAAACUCAUUUUGUUAAGGAAGCGGUACCUAACGAAUAAGCACCGGCUAACUCCGUGCCAGCAGCCGCGGUAAUUC
rnacentral:rRNA from 1 species